rnacentral:rRNA from 1 species
GUGGGGAAUCUUCCACAAUGGACGAAAGUCUGAUGGAGCAACGCCGCGUGAGUGAAGAAGGGUUUCGGCUCGUAAAGCUCUGUUGUCGGGGACGAAUGUGCAGUAUUUGAAUAAAGUAUUGCAAUGACGGUACCUGACGAGGAAGCCACGGCUAACUACGUGCCAGCAGCCGCGGUAAUACGUAGGUGGCAAGCGUUGUCCGGAAUUAUUGGGCGUAAAGGGAGCGCAGGCGGGAAGGUAAGUCGGUCUUAAAAGUGCGGGGCUCAACCCCGUGAUGGGAUCGAAACUAUCUUUCUUGAGUGCAGGAGAGGAAAGUGGAAUUCCUAGUGUAGCGGUGAAAUGCGUAGAUAUUAGGAGGAACACCAGUGGCGAAGGCGACUUUCUGGACUGUAACUGACGCUGAGGCUCGAAAGCCAGGGGAGCGAACGGGAUUAGAAACCCCUGUAGUCC